rnacentral:rRNA from 1 species
UCUUAAUCCAACAUCGAGGUCGCAAUCUGCUUUGUCAAUAUGAGCUCUCAAAAACAAUUACGCUGUUAUCCCUAAGGUAACUUAAUCUUAUGAUCAUAAAUUAUGGAUCAAAAUAAACAUAAAUCAAUGAUUUUAUAAUGAAGAGUUUAUUUAUUCUUCAUGUCACCCCAACAAAACAUUAUCUUAAAAUAUAAAAAAACUAUCUAAAAAUUAUAUUAAAAUAAAAUGUCAAGCUCUAUAGGGUCUUCUCGUCUUUAAGAAAAAUUUAAGCCUUUUAACUCAAAAGUUAAAUUCUAUUAUUUAAUAAGAGACAGUUAAUUUCUCGUCAAGCCAUUCAUUCCAGCCCCUAAUUAAGAGACUAAUGAUUAUGCUACCUUUGCACGGU